rnacentral:rRNA from 1 species
UACGGAGGGUGCAAGCGUUAUCCGGAAUUAUUGGGUUUAAAGGGUCCGCAGGCGGUUGAUUAAGUCAGAGGUGAAAUCCCAUAGCUCAACUAUGGAACUGCCUUUGAUACUGGUUAACUUGAGUUAUAUGGAAGUAGAUAGAAUGUGUAGUGUAGCGGUGAAAUGCAUAGAUAUUACACAGAAUACCGAUUGCGAAGGCAGUUUACUACAUAUAUACUGACGCUCAUGGACGAAAGCGUGGGGAGCGAACAGG